GCAGGGGUGGCGGAAUAGGAAGACGCGCAGGAUUGAGGGUCCUGUGGUUGUUGAGACCGUGCGGGUUCAAGUCCCGCCCCCUGCA
rnacentral:tRNA from 1 species